rnacentral:rRNA from 1 species
UCGUAACAAGGUUUCUGUAGGUGAACCUGCAGAAGGAUCAUUAGAGAAUUUUUAGGGAUUGAUUUCGAUCUUCCCGAACCUUCUUUUUCAUCCUAAACACCUGUGCAUUUGUUUGUUUGUGUGGAAACACAUAAACAAACAAACAAUUUAUCACACAAACUCUAUGUUUUUUUGAACGUAAAAAUAUUUUAACAAAUAUACAACUUUUGACAACGGAUCUCUUGGUUCUCCCAUCGAUGAAGAACGCAGCGAAACGCGAUAGGUAAUGUGAAUUGCAGAAUUCAGUGAAUCAUCGAAUCUUUGAACGCAUCUUGCGCUCCUUGGUAUUCCUCGGAGCAUGCCUGUUUGAGUGUCGUGAAUUUCUCCAAAAAGAAGUUUUUUCUUUGCGGGUCCUUGGGCUUGGUGAUUGCAUAGCCUCUUUGUAUCACCUUGCCUUAAAUGUAUGAGUGGAUGAGUGUCAGCCAUAGAUUUUUGUUAAGGCAAACCCAUAAAAAUCUUGUGCUUUUGUCAUCUGCUUCCAACUGAACAAAGCAUACACCACUUUUGUGGGGUAUGUUUUGAUUUUUUCACUUCUUUCUGGCCUCAAAUCAGGUAAGAUUACCCGCUGAACUUAAG